UACGUAGGGUGCGAGCGUUAAUCGGAAUUACUGGGCGUAAAGCGUGCGCAGGCGGUUUUGUAAGCCAGAUGUGAAAUCCCCGGGCUCAACCUGGGAAUGGCAUUUGGGACUGCAAGGCUGGAGUGCGGCAGAGGAGACUGGAAUUCCUGGUGUAGCAGUGAAAUGCGUAGAUAUCAGGAGGAAUACCGAUGGCGAAGGCAGGUCUCUGGGCUGACACUGACGCUCAUGCACGAAAGCGUGGGAGCA
rnacentral:rRNA from 1 species